rnacentral:rRNA from 1 species
UACAGAGGGUGCGAGCGUUAAUCGGAAUUACUGGGCGUAAAGCGCGCGUAGGCGGCUUUGCAAGUCGGGUGUGAAAUCCCCAGGCUUAACCUGGGAACUGCAUUCGAGACUGCAUUGCUAGAGUAUGGGAGAGGGAAGUGGAAUUUCCGGUGUAGCGGUGUAAUGCGUAGAUAUCGGAAGGAACAUCAGUGGCGAAAGCGACUUCCUGGACCAAUACUGACGCUCAUGUGCGAAAGCGUGGGGAGCAAACAGG